GAAUAUUUAGUCAAAUUAUCCUGCAAAAUUCAUGGUGCUCCUGAAUGAUUUGAAGACGACUCGAUUCCGGUGGAACUACAAUUUCUCCAGUGCACAAGGGUUGAAUCUGUCCGGAUCUAUCAAGAUACUAAACGUUUUCGUGUCCAAGGUGUCUAAAAG